rnacentral:tRNA from 1 species
GCCCCGGUGGCUUAGCGGUUAGAGCAGCGGCCUCGUAAGCCGCGGGUCGCGGGUUCGAAUCCCGCCCGGGGCUCCA